AAGAAAGAAAGAACGAAGAAAAGAGGCUUUGGAAAACCAAACAACAUAGUAAAGGUGCAUUGUAUAUAUAUAUACCUCGCUUCUUCCGAUCCUGCGCUGACAAUCAAGAUCCUAAAAACAUGGAAAGUGACAUUGUAUACACUCACAAAUCCCUAGACUUUAUAAAGCUGCAAACUGAAUGAAAAUCAGCAAAGAAAUACAGCUCCUUACGGCAUUCUGUGUGCGUUGGACGCCGGUAAUGGCUGAAGAAACAAGUGGAAAAAAGAUAUUAUAAGAUCUGUGAUCAGUUUAUUAAGUUAUGUACCAUGAAAUAAUGUUGGCACAGCCAAACCCUAAUCAUCACUAUCCUUUUAUGAAGCAUUAAAAACUUUUAUUAGAAAAUUCAAUUAUCCUCAUGCUUAUUAAACGUGGUGUCACCCAAAUACGUUGCCAAAUAAGAGUUUUUCAUUAUAACCGGUCUCAUCGGUUUGUAAGCUACAUUUAAUAUUAUUUACUGCUGUUAAAUUACGGACAUUCGCCCAACAAUCCACCCGUUUAGAAGUGACCUCGUGAAUCUUGGAUCCUCUUUCCUAACUCUACACUUUUGUUGUAAAUCUGGGGUUUCUAUAAUAUCUAUUUUAGGUACAUGAAGAAUUUAAGGCUUUACACUAAGGGGUCACCCAUA